AAUACUAUUGGUGUAUAUUGACCUGACACUAAGAAUCAUGGUUCCGUUGGCAAAGAAUUCGCUGUUUCAAACCAAGAGAGAGUUUAUGAUGGUUAUAACUGAUAUUACCAAACUACAAUAUUAGUCUUACUGACAUCGAGUCAGUUCCUUGACUUUAUGACAGGCAAGGGGCUUCGGCCCACUGCAGCCGCGUCCUUUUCAUUCCUCUCUGCUCUGUCACAUGUUAGGUCAUUAAGGAAAAGCCUCAGACUCUUCCACCUCAACUCAAACGGACGAGGCCCGCCCUUCCCAGAUACCACACGCCGAAGCUCGGAGUCUCUUUUCCGCUGUGGGGAACGCCUCGCAGGCCACCGCCAUGUGAUACAAGACAGCAAAGCCAAGGACUACAACUGUGCCCUCUCUCAUGCUGCCGUUCUCUGUCUGCCGGCGCUUCCUGGCUUUGAUGAAAGAAAACAGAAGCCUUGGAGGGAGAGACGACCAGUGCGGCCGCUGUCUUUUGAUUCAUGCCACAGAAAAAACAACUGACUGGAAAAAUCCAUUUGAAAAGGAAUGUGUUUUGUUGAGUUAAAGGGGCAGAAAUCCAAAUUCUGCACUCACCCAGCUGUACACGCACACACACACACACACGCACACACACACACGCACACACACACACAAACUCGAUACUAACCACAAGCCCCAUCGAGGCAUAGCCCUACCAUGCAAUAAACUAGAGCCAAGGAGGCAAGGAAUCCAGUCUGAGCCCUUCUGCUUUACAGGCAGAGACCUACCUGACACUGCAAUGAAGCGUACCAGCCAGCCAGAACCAUGUGUUGCUGUGUGAAUGUGUGUGUGUGUGUGCGUGUGUGUGUGUGGAAGGGGGGCUCGUCUGUUGGACAAGCUGUUGGAGCAGUGAAAGACAGUGGUGUUGGGGGGGAGCAUCUCCCUCCGCAGGGUCCUCUGGGUGCGCUGCACACAGGCAGGGGAAGGUCUGCAGCUGGACGGCUGCUGAGAAACGAGCCCCGGGGAAGCUCCCCACAGCCGAGCCAGAGGCAUUUCCACAAUAAUAAAUAAUCCAGGUUUUUUUUGUUGGUUUUUUUUAUUUGAGGGGAGGGGAGAGAAGCCUCAACCCUCUUCAAAGGAAAUGUGGAGCCCUGCAAAAAGGCUCAAAGUUAAAAUCGUUUUAAAAAAAGGAUGAAAAGGAGUUAGGAGAGAAGAAAGUGAUGACUGGAGUUUAUUCCAGACAAUGGGGAUUUUUUUUUUCUCUCUUCAGUUGCAGACACUCCUUUUGGAGCAAUUGUUUGGAGAAAGAAACUACAAAUGCAUUGUUAGCGCAUCUUUGAAAAGUGUGAUUUUUCUGGGCAGCAAAAAUAUGAAUACAUGCCACACACACACACACACACACACACACAGACUCAGACCUUUUUCAACGAGCAACUCUGCAGGGUCUUGUAUUGACGUCAUUCUACACCAAAUUGACCAUGAAACUAUUUCACCAGAGCUCACAAUGACAUCUACAUACAUACACACACCGACAUCAGCCACAACAUUAAACACAUUCACAUAAAUUCACUGUGUGAGAAGUGGGUCCAAAAAGUGGGGUCCGAAAUAUAAAGAACAUGUUACUGGUUUAAUAAAACAAUAUAAAACAA